UGGGGAAUAUUGCACAAUGGGCGCAAGCCUGAUGCAGCCAUGCCGCGUGUAUGAAGAAGGCCUUCGGGUUGUAAAGUACUUUCAGUCGGGAGGAAGGUGUCAAGGUUAAUAACCUUGGCAAUUGACGUUACCGACAGAAGAAGCACCGGCUAACUCCGUGCCAGCAGCCGCGGUAAUACGGAGGGUGCAAGCGUUAAUCGGAAUUACUGGGCGUAAAGCGCACGCAGGCGGUUUGUUAAGUCAGAUGUGAAAUCCCCGGGCUCAACCUGGGAACUGCAUCUGAUACUGGCAAGCUUGAGUCUCGUAGAGGGGGGUAGAAUUCCAGGUGCAGCGGUGAAAUGCGUAGAGAUCUGGAGGAAUACCGGUGGCGAAGGCGGCCCCCUGGACGAAGACUGACGCUCAGGUGCGAAAGCGUGGGGAGCAAACAGG
rnacentral:rRNA from 1 species